rnacentral:rRNA from 1 species
GACGAACGCUGGCGGCGCGCCUAACACAUGCAAGUCGAACGAGCGAGAGAGAGCUUGCUUUCUCGAGCGAGUGGCGAACGGGUGAGUAACGCGUGAGGAACCUGCCUCAAAGAGGGGGACAACAGUUGGAAACGACUGCUAAUACCGCAUAAGCCCACGGUGCCGCAUGGCACAGAGGGAAAAGGAGCAAUCCGCUUUGAGAUGGCCUCGCGUCCGAUUAGCUAGUUGGUGAGGUAAUGGCCCACCAAGGCGACGAUCGGUAGCCGGACUGAGAGGUUGAACGGCCACAAUGGGACUGAGACACGGCCCAGACUCCUACGGGAGGCAGCAGUGGGGAAUAUUGCACAAUGGGGGAAACCCUGAUGAAGCGACGCGGCGUGGAGGAAGAAGGUCUGCGGAUUGUAAACUCCUGUUGUUGGGGAAGAGAAUGACGGUAACCAACAAGGAAGUGACGGCUAACUACGUG